GGAGGGCUAGUCCUAACGGUAAGGCAGCGGACUUGAAAUCCGCCGGGAGCAAUCCCAUGGGGGUUCGAAUCCCUCGCCCUCCG
rnacentral:tRNA from 3 species